CAGCCAGACAGUCUGCUAAAGUUGUGAACACUUGACGGUGCGAUCACUGAAACCAUGCUGAAGGUUGUGUUUGUGCUUGGAUGCCUACUGAGCCUCACUCUGGCCAAACCUAUGGGUGUGGCCCACAAGCGACUUGCU